rnacentral:tRNA from 1 species
GGUUAGGUGUGGCAUAGUGGUUUGAGUAUUGGACUAUGACUCUGGAGACCAGUGUUUGAGUCCCAGCUUGACCA